rnacentral:rRNA from 1 species
UACGGGGGGGGGCAAGCGUUGUUCGGAAUUACUGGGCGUAAAGGGCGUGUAGGUGGCCAACUAAGUCCGACGUGAAAUCCCCCAGGCUUAACCUGGGAACUGCGUCGGAUACUGGAUGGCUUGAAUUCGGGAGAGGGAUGCAGAAUUCCAGGUGUAGCGGUGAAAUGCGUAGAUAUCAGGAGGAACACCGGUGGUGUAAACGGCUUUCUGGACCAUAACUGACACUGAGGCACGAAAGCGUGGGUAGCAAACAGG